GCUAAUUUUAAGAUACAACAAGGUUGUUUUUGGUACAGAACAAUUGUUUAUGUUUAAAGGCAUAAUAAGAUUACUAUGAUGUCUGUUGUAAGAAUCAUGCUGAUAGUUUCAGCAGUCUUUAUCAAUAGCGUCCUGGCCAAGAACACAUUGAAACAGAAGCAUUAUAUAAAUGAAGAAGAGAAAGAAGAAUCUGACAUCCAUGGCAAAGUAUCAGAUGCAAGUCGGGUUCGACGAAGUUACUAUGGACACUGCCACAACACUGAAACAUGGUUCACUUAUGACGGAAAGGGUCAUACUAUUUAUCUUGAUCGUCAAAGUCCAAACUGUGGAUUGUCUGCUAUGAGAUCAUUUCAAUUAGUUAGAAACAGUGGUCACAAUCGUGUUUGAUAUAACCUGAACUGUUGCAAUCUUCCAAAAUUAUACAGAUGUCAAACUUCUACUUUUAAUACACCAUAUAACAGUGAUGGAAAAGGACUUAAUAUUUACUUAGAUCGUCACCAUGUGUCAUGUCCAUAUAACGGAUUUCUUAAACAUUUCCAUCUGAACAGGAAUCACCAUGGUGACCUCUACAGAUAUACGUUUUCUUGCUGUAGUCCUCAUUACUACCAGACGAAUGACAUGCUAUGAAACUACAACCCCUGCAAAUGCUGAUGGUAAAGGAAACAUGGUAUAUCUGGAUAGACACAGACCCAGCUGUCAUAUUGGAUAAUUCCUCAAUGGCUUUCAACUUGUUCGACCAACAACAACAACCAUACAGUAUAAAUAUAGAUGCUGUGCGUUCCGUCAGUAAUUAAAAAGGACAAAUAUUGCUUUAAGCAUAUUUCAAUAA